GAAACGGAGAAAGAGCGUGCUGCAUGGGAGAUUGGUCAACUCGCUGUUUAAUUUUGCAGAGUGAUGGGGAACGCAUCACUGCUGAUAAGAACCAUCUCAGAGCUUCAUCAACCACGUGCUGCUUUCUCUGAAACAUUGCCAUUGUGACUCAGGAGCUUCUAGUCUAAAACGAAAAUAAAACAGUAAUGGGGAUGUGGAACCUGGUUCUUGGUUCAAUCUCUCUGUCUUCAAGAUUUACGGAUCCUUACAGCAAGAUUCCACAAGAACUCUUAUACUGACAACUUGCAACUCAUGCACACCACUUUGUGAUAAAAAUACUCAAACUUGAAACAGAAGGGAACUUGCUGAACCUGAUAAAGGGCACCUACGACAAACAUGACGCUUAAUGGUGAAAGAUGGAAAGCCUCCCGUAAGAUCAGGAACGGGACGAGGAUGUCCAUUCUUAUCAUUUGUGCUCAAUGUUGUACUGGAGGUUCUAACCAGGGCACUUAGGCAAGAAAAAGGAACAAAAGAUACUCAGAUUGGAAAGGAAGAAGUAAAACUCUCUCUAAUGGAGGAGGACAUGAUCUCCUAUAUUGAAAAUGCUAAGCAUCAACAACAAUAACAAGCUAUUAGAGCUAAUAAACGAGUUCAGAUAAAUAAUAGAAGAAUGCAGGAUACAAGAUCAAUAUACGAAAAUCAAUUGUAUUUUUAUACAUUAGCAAUAAAUAAUCCAAAAAUGAUAUUAGGGAAACAAUUUCAUUUACAAUAGCAUCCAAAAUAUUAAAAUGUUUAGGAAUAUAUUUAACAAAAGAAAUGCCAGAUCCCUGCACUUAAAACUGCAAAACGUC
rnacentral:lncRNA from 1 species